rnacentral:rRNA from 1 species
AAAGGCUCCAGCUUGCUGGAGUGCUCGAGUGGCGAACGGGUGAGUAACACGUGGGCAAUCUGCCCUGCACUCUGGGAUAAGCCUGGGAAACUGGGUCUAAUACCGGAUAGGACCUUUCUCCUCAUGGGGUUUAGUGGAAAGUUUUUCGGUGCAGGAUGAGCCCGCGGCCUAUCAGCUUGUUGGUGGGGUAAUGGCCUACCAAGGCGACGACGGGUAGCCGGCCUGAGAGGGUGAUCGGCCACAUUGGGACUGAGAUACGGCCCAGACUCCUACGGGAGGCAGCAGUGGGGAAUAUUGCACAAUGGGCGAAAGCCUGAUGCAGCGACGCCGCGUGAGGGAUGACGGCCUUCGGGUUGUAAACCUCUUUCAGCAGGGACGAAGCGCAAGUGACGGUACCUGCAGAAGAAGCACCGGCUAACUACGUGCCAGCAGCCGCGGUAAUACGUAGGGUGCGAGCGUUGUCCGGAAUUACUGGGCGUAAAGAGCUCGUAGGCGGUUUGUCACGUCGUCUGUGAAAUCCUAGGGCUUAACCCUGGACGUGCAGGCGAUACGGGCUGACUUGAGUACUACAGGGGAGACUGGAAUUUCUGGUGUAGCGGUGGAAUGCACAGAUAUCAGGAAGAACACCGAUGGCGAAGGCAGGUCUCUGGGUAGUAACUGACGCUGAGGAGCGAAAGCAU